CCUACGGGUGGCAGCAGUAGGGAAUUUUGCGCAAUGGGGGAAACCCUGACGCAGCAACGCCGCGUGAUCGAUGAAGCCCUUCGGGGUGUAAAGAUCUGUCAGUGGGGACGAAACCUGACGGUACCCACAGAGGAAGCACCGGCUAACUCCGUGCCAGCAGCCGCGGUAAUACGGGGGGUGCAAGCGUUGUCCGGAAUCAUUGGGCGUAAAGAGUUCGUAGGUGGCACGUUAAGUCUGGUGUUAAAGGCGGAAGCUCAACUUCCGUAGGGCACGGGAUACUGGCGAGCUUGAAUGGGGUAGAGAUAAGGGGAUUUCGUGGUGGAGCGGUGAUAUGGGUAGAUAGAGG
rnacentral:rRNA from 1 species